rnacentral:lncRNA from 15 species
AUGGACGUUUAUUCGAGAUGGACAUCGAGGACAAAGAUUAUCUCUGGAAGACCUUGCCUUCCUCCGUUCCCCCUCUUUCGAGAUGAAAACAAAAGGCAGCAGAGGAAGUGGAGGAAUCCUCAGCGAGAGGCAGACGUCCUCAGCAGUGGACUGAAAGUCCGUCAGAGAACAGCUCCGAGUGCGGACGGUCCGGUGGAGCAGCGGCAUCGAAAGCAAUUCGCAAAGCACCUGCUACCAUCUAGCAGUGGGUUCAAUUCCCACGGAAGUGGAGGAGGGCCGUGACCUCCUCUGCCCCCCAGAGACCCGUAAGCAGAAACUCCACCCAGCUGAGGUUUUACAAACUGUUGGAGAAAUGGGAUUGAAUGUUGCUUCUUGUUGCAGCUGUACAACGCCUACAGGUGGACUUUAUUUUACUUAUUCAUUACUACUAAUCCUACUGACAUGAUCAAUUAUUCUACCUAUUCCUGAUACAUUGUCAGUUAUGUGAUGUUGUUAUUAAGCUCAGUUACUUUGUAUCACUAGUGUUUAAUGGUUUCAGAGCGUCUCAUAGGAGUUAGGAACGACCAGAUCAGAACCAACUAUUGUGUUUGUUUCCCAACAAGGACUUGAGCUCCCAGGUCCAGGUUACAGACCUGUCAGUGUCUUAUCUCACUGAGCUAUUUGUUGGGACAAUAGAGUUGAACUUGUUGUUGCUUUUCUUUACAUUUUUUAGGCGAAAACACAGAAAAGCGUUAUCAGAAGACAUUUUGAAUUUGAUCCCCCUCCCCUUGGAUCAUCAAGUAGAUUCACCUUAUCUCACUGAGCUACACCUGAGGGUUACAAGUCACUGGUUUGUUGUAUUUAUUGUUCAUGUUGCUGAAGGGAAAACUGAAAAUCCUCAAAAACCUUCCACCUCAGAUAUUAACAUCAGCAGAUUAUCUCACUGAGCUAUUUCUACUGAUGGAUUAUUAUUUUUAGUAAAGCACUAAUACCUGUGACGUCCAUAAAUGUGCAGGAAAGCAGCACUGUUAUACCUGAGACACAAGGAGCUCCAUUAGAGCUCGUAUAACCCCCCCGAUUAUAAAACUGUAAAAAAUGAAGAGAAUGCAGUAAAAGGAAAGUUUAAAAUACCCUCAGCAGGAAUAGCUCAGCAAGAUAAGCAGCUGAUGGUGUUGAUACCUGAGGUAGAGGGUUCAAAUCCAAGCUCAUGCGUUGUGAGAUUUUUAAAGGUUUCUCCUCAGUAAUGUGAACAAUAAAUACAACUACGAAGCUCUCUCUCUGCUCAAAGAGGUGAAGAAAAGUAACAACUGACCCAGACUCUACUGUCAGUGGUACUGUGUCAGUGAAUAAGCAGAUGAUUGUCUGAUUGGAAGUGGGGUUUGAGCCUCGCUCAACUCUGAAUUAUGAAGUCAGAUGUUCGUAGAAACAAGUGAAAAGCUGUUAGAAGCACAGAGAGUCUCAGAUCAAACAGCGCAGAGUGUUAGAAGAGUGAUCAGGAGACCAAAGGUCGGGUGUUCGAUUCUCUUAUGAGACUGAGUGUUUUGUGUUCCAGCAGCCAAAGUAAAAAGAUAAAAGCGCCCGGAGAAGAUGUUCUAGUGUGAAGGGAGCAUGGUGGCGCAGUGUGCAUGGGAGCGGCCAGAAUGCAGAAGUGUCUGGUUCGAGGCUCGCUCGGCGCCGGAUGCCAGGUUCCUGGAGCCUCACCCCGCUGCAGAGGGAGAGGAGGGGGCCGUGUCCCCUCCCAGGCUUCCAGAGAGGUAAAAGCAGGGGGUUAUGGAUUUUAAAAUAAUUUUAUUGAACAUCAACAACAUAUACAUACCCUCUUCCCCCUCCCCUCAGGAAGUCUUCUUUGUGGAUCGCCCCCUCCCCUCCACAAUGAAGUCUAAGAAGACUUCAUUGUGGAGGGGAGGGGGCGAUCCAGGAAGCAGGACCUGAGAGAGAGAGAGAGAGAGAGAGAGAGAGAGAGAAAAAAGUUAGUACAGGUAGCACACAAUACACACUUUAAAUUAUUAAAUUAAAUUAGACACUAUUAUAUUAAAUUAAAAACUACUAUAUUAUAUUAAAUUAAAUUAGACACGAUUGUACUAUAUUAAAUUUAAUUAAAUUAGGUUAGAAACUAUUAUAUUAUAGUAUAUUUAAUUAAAUUAUAUUAUAUUAAAUUAAAUUACACUAUUAUAUUAUAUGA